AACAAACGCUGGCGGCGUGCCUAAUACAUGCAAGUCGAACGGGGAAAGCUUUCGGGUGAGUACUAGUGGCGCACGGGUGAGUAACGCGUGGAUAAUCUGCCUUAGAGUGGGGGAUAACUAGUCGAAAGUUUAGCUAAUACCGCAUAAGACCACAAGAACUGCGGUUCAAGAGGUCAAAGGUUUUUCGCUCUAAGAUGAGUCCGCGUAAGAUUAGCUAGUUGGUGAGGUAACGGCUCACCAAGGCAACGAUCUUUAACUGGUCUGAGAGGAUGAUCAGUCACACUGGAACUGAGACACGGUCCAGACUCCUACGGGAGGCAGCAGUAGGGAAUAUUGCACAAUGGAGGAAACUCUGAUGUAGCGACGCCGCGUGAGUGAUGAAGGCCUUCGGGUCGUAAAGCUCUGUCGCAGGGGAAUAACACAAUGAAUGUACCCUGUAAGAAAGGAUCGGCUAACUUCGUGCCAGCAGCCGCCGCCGUAA
rnacentral:rRNA from 1 species